CAAGGGAAGGGUUUUCAAUUCUCACAAUUUCCUUUCUUUCUCACCAAACCACUUCAUUUAGUACAAAAUUUUUCCUUUUUUUUUGCGUUAUACAAAUUUUCCAUUUCUUGGAUCCCUGUUCUGGUUGAGGUUGUUGAGUUGGGUUCUGCAGGAGGGAAGGAGAAUGCAGCUGCUGCUCUUCUAAAGAUUUGCACACACACCAAUCGAUUUUGUAGCAUGGUGCUUCAUGAAGCCGUUCCCCCAUUAGUGGCAUUGUCACAAUCCGGCACUCCGCGAGCCAAAGAAAAAGGCUUAGGCACUUCUUAGCCACUUUAGGAACCAACGACGGCGGUGCUAGGAGGGGCUGACCAACACAUGGACCUUUGGAUGUAUCCAGUGCUUUGUGGUAAGAUAUAUAGUGUGUAAAUCUAUCAUGUUGCAAAUAAUGCUUAAGAAGGUCCUAUUUCUUGAAUGUUUUUCUUGAUUUGUGAAGAGAAAUGAAAAUAAAAAACAGAAAAAUGAUUUGUGGAGGGUUGAUUGAUUGCCCUCUCAUGAAUGACUUUAUUGUGAAUGCGGGAAAAAAAGUGUACAAGUGUAAAUUUAGUUUUUUUUUUUUUUUUUUUGAUAAGUACUGAGUUUAGUUUUCAAACCUCGUGUAAUGUGAAUUUUGGCAAGACAAUUGAUAUGAAUCUCAUUUUAUUUUAUUGAUGUUA